AACGAACGCUAGCGGCAGGCUUAACACAUGCAAGUCGACCGCGCCGCAAGGGGAGUGGCCGACGGGUGAGUAACACGCUGCGAUCUGCCCAACGGUACGGAAUAAUUCCGGGAAACUGGGAACAAUACGGUACGCGCCCUUCGGGGGAAAGAUUUAUCGCCAUUGGAUGAACCCGCGUCGGAUUAGCUAGUUGGUGAGGUAAAGGCUCACCAAGGCGACGAUCCGUAGCUGGUCUGAGAGGAUGAUCAGCCACACUGGGACUGAGACACGGCCCAGACUCCUACGGGGGGCAGCAGUGGGGAAUAGUGGACAAUGGGCGCAUGCCCGAUCCAGCCAUGCCGCGUGAGUGAUGAAGGCCUUAGGGUUGUAAAGCUCUUUCGCCGACGAAGAUAAUGACGGUAGUCGGAGAAGAAGCCCCGGCUAACUUCGUGCCAGCCGCCGCCGUAAGAC
rnacentral:rRNA from 1 species